UCCGUUUCUCGUAGCUCAUAGCGUUAUGGUGGACCGAGGAUGGUUUACGAAUGAAUUACGGGGUCUAUGGCUUGUUUUUGCAUGAUCGUGCAGUCAGAGUGGUUUGCGGUCUUGAUCUGGCAACUAGAGAGGCUGUUUAAUGCGAUCUAAGAGCUGUUAGACUCGCUUUCGGAUACAAAGUCCUAACAGGACUCUAGUGAGGGCCUUUUGACGUAUUGUGGAUGAAAAUUUUUGGACUAUAAAUAAGUGCUGAUCCCGAGGUUAUUUAGUCACAGUCGGCAGUGAGAGAUCCAUGAGGCAGAGAAGUCUUCUUUGGUUCUAGUGAGAGCUUUGUAAGGAUAGCUUUUAGUUGAGAGAGCUUGUGUAUAAGGGUUGAGAGUGUAAGGAUCUUCUCUUGUACUUAUUCUUUUCUCAUAGUGAAGCUUUAUAUUCCUUGUGGAGGUAAGCCUUGGAUCGAUCCAUAUACUUGAUUAUUUUUUUUUGUCUUGUAUUUUUUUUUUCUUGCGGUAUCUACACGUGAUCGAGUGCAAUAUGAGUGAUAUCGAAAAAGUUAUAUGGUGGUGGUGUCCUGGUUAGACCCCCCAACACUCUCUCUUCGAUAUGCUUUGACUUAAGCAUCGAAGGGUUUCCUCCUAAAAACCUCCACCUUCUUUUCCAACGUGUGCAGACUUUCUUAUAGAUUCUCGAGGUUUGGAUUGGCACAUGACAACUCUAGUUUAGCGGAUGAUCCAAACUGUCCUGCCACCUCAUCAUCUUGUUGAAGAGGCACGGC
rnacentral:lncRNA from 1 species